GGUGAACGCUGGCGGCGUGCCUAACACAUGCAAGUCGAGCGAACAGACGAUGAGAUUGUUCUCUUGACGUUAGCGGCUGGCGGGCGAGUAACACGUGGAUCACAUUCUUCUAUUUCUGGGAUAAUAACGGAAGACAGGAUACAAUAAUACAUCAUAUAAUCAACCGCAUGGUGCAAUAGAGCAUGACGGCUUUGCCGUUUGAAUUAGCUGGUUUCGGGCUGCAUUAGCUAGUUGGUAAGGUAACGGCCUACCAAGGCGACGAUGCGUAGCUGACCUGAGAGGGUGAUCGGCCACACUGGAACUGAGACACGGUCCAGACUCCUACGGGAGGCAGCAGUGGGGAAUCUUCGGCAAUGGGCGAAAGCCUGACGCAGCAACGCCGCGUGGGUGAUGAAGGCCUUCGGGUCGUAAAGCUCUUUUGUUGGGGAAGAACAGCUGUGGGUUUAACUAUGGACGUCUUGACGGUACCUAAUCAAUAAGCACCGGCUAACUACGUG
rnacentral:rRNA from 1 species